CUUAACACAUGCAAGUCGAGCGGUAACAUUUCUAGCUUGCUAGAAGAUGACGAGCGGCGGACGGGUGAGUAACGCGUAGGAAUCUGCCUAGUAGUGGGGGACAACAUGUGGAAACGCAUGCUAAUACCGCAUACGCCCUACGGGGGAAAGGAGGGGAUCUUCGGACCUUUCGCUAUUAGAUGAGCCUGCGUGAGAUUAGCUAGUUGGUGGGGUAAAGGCCUACCAAGGCGACGAUCUCUAGCUGGUCUGAGAGGAUGAUCAGCCACACUGGGACUGAAACACGGCCCAGACUCCUACGGGAGGCAGCAGUGGGGAAUAUUGGACAAUGGGCGCAAGCCUGAUCCAGCCAUGCCGCGUGUGUGAAGAAGGCCUUAGGGUUGUAAAGCACUUUCAGGAGUGAGGAAGGGCGUAUAGUUAAUACCUGUAUGUUUUGACGUUAACUCCAGAAGAAGCACCGGCUAACUCUGUGCCAGCAGCCGCGGUAAUACAGAGGGUGCGAGCGUUAAUCGGAAUUACUGGGCGUAAAGCGCGCGUAGGCGGUUUGUUAAGUCGGAUGUGAA
rnacentral:rRNA from 1 species